rnacentral:rRNA from 1 species
CCUGCCCAAGAGAUCGGGAUAACACCUGGAAACAGAUGCUAAUACCGGAUAACAACAGAUGAUGCCUAUCAACUGUUUAAAAGAUGGUUCUGCUAUCACUCUUGGAUGGACCUGCGGUGCAUUAGCUAGUUGGUAGGGUAACCGGGCCUACCAAGGCGAUGAUGCAUAGCCCGAGUUGAGAGACUGAUCGGCCACAUUGGGACUGAGACACGGCCCAAACUCCUACGGGAGGCAGCAGUG